rnacentral:rRNA from 1 species
CUCCGGUUGAUCCUGCCGGACCCGACUGCUAUCAGAGUGAGAUUAAGCCAUGCGAGUUAACGUAGCAAUACGUGGCGCACGGCUCAGUAACACGUAGUCAACAUGCCCAGAGGACGUGGAUAACCUCGGGAAACUGAGUCUAAACCGCGAUAAGUGAGGAUUUCUGGAAUGGUUCCUGACUAAAAUCUAUAUGGCCUCUGGAUUGGACUGCGGCCGAUCAGGCUGUUGGUGAGGUAAUGGCCCACCAAACCUGUAACCGGUACGGGCUCUGAGAGGAGGAGCCCGGAGAUGGGCACUGAGACAAGGGCCCAGGCCCUAUGGGGCGCAGCAGGCGCGAAACCUCUGCAAUAGGCGAAAGCUUGACAGGGUUACUCUGAGUGAUUUCCGUUAAGGAGAUCUUUUGGCACCUCUAAAAAUGGUGCAGAAUAAGGGGUGGGCAAGUCUGGUGUCAGCCGCCGCGGUAAUACCAGCACCCCGAGUGGUCGGGACGUUUAUUGGGCCUAAAGCAUCCGUAGCCGGUUCUACAAGUCUUCCGUUAAAUCCACCUGCUUAACAGAUGGGCUGCGGAAGAUACUAUAGAGCUAGGAGGCGGGAGAGGCAAGCGGUACUCGAUGGGUAGGGGUAAAAUCCGUUGAUCCAUUGAAGACCACCAGUGGCGAAGGCGGCUUGCCAGAACGCGCUCGACGGUGAGGGAUGAAAGCUGGGGGAGCAAACCGGAUUAGAUACCCGGGUAGUCCCAGCUGUAAACGAUGCAGACUCGGUGAUGAGUUGGCUUCUUGCCAACUCAGUGCCGCAGGGAAGCCGUUAAGUUUGCCGCCUGGGGAGUACGGUCGCAAGACUGAAACUUAAAGGAUUGGCGGGGGAGCA